UACGGGGGGGGCAAGCGUUGUUCGGAAUUACUGGGCGUAAAGGGCUUGUAGGUGGCCAACUAAGUCAGACGUGAAAUCCCUCGGCUUAACCGGGGAACUGCGUCUGAUACUGGAUGGCUAGAGUGUGGGAGAGGGAUGCGGAAUUCCAGGUGCAGCGGUGAAAUGCGUAGAUAUCAGGAGGAACACCAACGGCGAAGGCAGCUAGCUGGACGAGAUCCGACGCUCAGGCUCGAAAGUAUGGGGAGCAAAAAGG
rnacentral:rRNA from 1 species